UCAGGCCUAACACAUGCAAGUCGAGGGGUAGAGUUUCUUCGGAAAAAAAGACCGGCGCACGGGUGCGUAACGCGUAUGCAAUCUGCCCUUUACUGGGGAAUAGCCCGGAGAAAUUCGGAUUAAUGCCCCAUAUGCCCGUAGAAUCACCUGGUUCAGCGGGGAAAGUUCCGACGGUAAAGGAUCAGCAUGCGUCCCAUUAGCUAGUUGGUCGGCGUAACGGCUCACCAAGGCGACGAUGGGUAGGGGGCCUGAGAGGGUGAUCCGCCACACGAGGUACUGGGACACGGAUCCAGACUCGUACGGGAGGCAGCAGUGAGGAAUAUU
rnacentral:rRNA from 1 species